AGCGCUGCACCGCCCUGCCGCGCGCUCCCCUCCGGGGCUCAGCCCCCCAAAACACUCGGCGCGCGCCCUGGGCAUUUAAAGGGACAGGCCCCACGCCGCUGCUGCCCGGAGGCCGCCUCUCGAGGGGGCCCUCGGUCUCCGCGCGAGGUCUGAACUGGGGACCCGGUCGCGCCCUCACCGACUUACACCGCCGAGAAGCGCAGUAGGGGUUUGAGCCUGGAGCUCUGAAGGAGAUCGGACUUGUUUGCCCCCGCAUCGUCGUCAGCUUUGAGAGGUUCUGUUAUAUUUAGUGAUAAUAACACCCAAGGAUAGAAUUUUUAUUACCCUCGGAAAAGAUGAAGAAUUUAUGACCUGGAGGUUUUUGGUGACAUGUUUUAGAGGAAGACUAGAAAAAAUGAAGUGGAAAUGGUUUCAUACUUCCUGAAAGCAAGUGGACAAUGUCCGUAUUCCAGGGCAGUAUUUUGAAGAAGAAACAUGUGGAAGAAACAAUUAUGGAAGAAAACCGUAAACGAGUUGUUCCUACAAUUUAAUGAUUGUUAAAUAGGAUUUUAAAAAAUCUUCCUGUGGAGAAUCACAACAGGAAAAGAAAAGGGAAAUCGCACCACACGCUACCAUUCACUGACAGACUGAAGACCUGCAUUCAAGCAAAACCCCAGAAGGUGCAGAGUUAUUGCUACAGGAUUCCUGCUACACAGACUUCAUCAUCUUGCCCAUCUCCACAUGUUGCUUCGGUUUUACUUGGAAGCCCUUAGCCAGACUGGCAGGGGUGACGAAAAGAGAGUGCAGGUGAUGAGGAGAGCUGGCCAGAGAACAGAGUCCAUUAGCAUCUCUGGCUCUCCCGGGAAGAAUAGAUGGACCAUCCUUGCAAAGCGUGUAUUAUGGUGAGAGAAUCUUUACUCUCAAUGGGGUAUUUAAAUAUGCCCACUUCCAAGCAACUGUUCGAGGAUCAAAGGGCUAAAGGAUAUGCAAUAGUUCUCCCCUCUACUUUAUCCGCACUGAAGGUGGUCCAAAAGCAGAUGAUCCUUCUUCCGACGUGUGGUCAGAGGGUUGCGAGUAGCCUCAUGCUUCGUCACAAUGUCUACGUCAUUCGCCUGCUUCGUCUCAUCAUGUGGGCAUUUUAUCCUCUCGCUCCAUCACCAGAAGAAGGUUCCUUAAAACAACAUCGGUAGCCCAGCGUAAGUAAGAAUUGGGCCAGCAUUGGAAGUUCCGCCAUGGUAUGGACCCACAGGACCCCAGAAGGGUGUGGUCUCCGUGACUGGAGUCUGAGCGAUGUGCCCAUCACUUACCAGCUGGGAGACUUGGGGACUGUCACGUAGUAUCCUCAUCUGGAUACUGAGAUGGAUGAAGACGUC